rnacentral:rRNA from 1 species
GAUGAACGCUGGCGGCGUGCCUAAUACAUGCAAGUCGAGCGAACAGAUAAGGAGCUUGCUCCUUUGACGUUAGCGGCGGACGGGUGAGUAACACGUGGGUAACCUACCUAUAAGACUGGGAUAACUUCGGGAAACCGGAGCUAAUACCGGAUAACAUUUGGAACCGCAUGGUUCUAAGUGAAAGAUGGUUUUGCUAUCACUUAUAGAUGGACCCGCGCCGUAUUAGCUAGUUGGUAAGGUAACGGCUUACCAAGGCAACGAUACGUAGCCGACCUGAGAGGGUGAUCGGCCACACUGGAACUGAGACACGGUCCAGACUCCUACGGGAGGCAGCAGUAGGGAAUCUUCCGCAAUGGGCGAAAGCCUGACGGAGCAACGCCGCGUGAGUGAUGAAGGGUUUCGGCUCGUAAAACUCUGUUAUUAGGGAAGAACAAACGUGUAAGUAACUGUGCACGUCUUGACGGUACCUAAUCAGAAAGCCACGGCUAACUACGUG